rnacentral:rRNA from 1 species
AUUGAACGCUGGCGGCAGGCCUAACACAUGCAAGUCGAGCGAGCGGCGGACGGGUGAGUAAUGUAUGGGGAUCUGCCCGAUAGAGGGGGAUAACUACUGGAAACGGUAGCUAAUACCGCAUACUAUCGGAUGUGCCCAUAUGGGAUUAGCUAGUAGGUUGGGUAAAGGCUCACCUAGGCGACGAUCCCUAGCUGGUCUGAGAGGAUGACCAGCCACACUGGGACUGAGACACGGACCAGACGCCUACGGGAGGCAGCAGUGGGGAAUAGUGCACAAUGGGCGAAAGCCUGAUGCAGCCAUGCCGCGUGGAUGAAGAAGGCCUUAGGGUUGUAAAGUACUUUCAGCGGGGAGGCGUUACCCGCAGAAGAAGCACCGGCUAACUCCGUGCCAGCAGCCGCGGUAAUAC